ACGACCUUACUUGAACAGGAUCUGUUCUAUAGGAUCGUACUACUAUUCCCUUAAGUAAUAAGGAGACUAGUCGACAAAUUUGGUGGAUGAAAAAUAAUCCUUUGACCAGAGCGUGAUUGACUGAUAAAUUGUGUUUCAAUCAAAUCUGUAGAUGAUCGUUCUCAGAUAUUGGGUUUACCCAUUCUGUGAAGGUCUUGGGGUUUCCUGACCGAAU
rfam:Zostera marina strain Finnish scaffold_15, whole genome shotgun sequence.